GACGAACGCUGGCGGCGUGCUUAACACAUGCAAGUCGAACGGAAAGGCCCUGCUUUUGUGGGGUGCUCGAGUGGCGAACGGGUGAGUAACACGUGAGUAACCUGCCCUUGACUUUGGGAUAACUUCAGGAAACUGGGGCUAAUACCGGGUAGGAGCUCCUGCUGCAUGGUGUGGGUUGGAAAGUUUCGGCGGUUGGGGAUGGACUCGCGGCUUAUCAGCUUGUUGGUGAGGUAGUGGCUUACCAAGGGUUUGACGGGUAGCCGGCCUGAGAGGGUGACCGGCGACAUGAGGACUGAGGUACGGACCAGAAUCCUACGGGAGGCAGCAGUGGGGAGUAUUGCACAAUGGGCGGAAGCCUGAUGCAGCAACGCCGCGUGUGGGAUGACGGCCUUCGGGGUGUAAACCGCUUUCGCAGGUGACGAAGCGUGAGUGACGGUAAUGGGUAAAGAAGCACCGGCUAACUACGUG
rnacentral:rRNA from 1 species